rnacentral:lncRNA from 7 species
UAGGGGAUUUGGGGCAAUAGAAGGCGGUGAGGGGGUCACAGGGAAACACAGUGCUGUAGGGAACAUUGGGGGUUUUGGGGAGGGGCUACAGGAAGCUGUGUGGGGGUAUAAGAUGGGCUAUAAAAAUAAAGUGGGGCUAGAUGGUCCAGAUAUAGCUCAAAUACGGUGACUAAAAGGUGUUAUAGAGGAGAUGAGAGAAUACUGGUGGGAUAUAGGGCUAUAGCAAGGAUGUGAAGAAAUAAAGGGGGACAUGGGGCUACAGGGGCUGGGGAGAGCUGUGGGAAGGGAUAUACAGGGCUGGGGGAGCAUAUAAAAGAAUAUGGAUCUAUAAAAGACUGUAAGGGGGAAAAAGGUAGGAUAGAAAAGUAAAUAGGUCUACAGACAGCAGUGGAAAAGCUAUAGCUGUGAUAUGGCGAAACAAGUGCAAUAGCGGAUUGUGGAGGAGUAUAGGAGGGGUACAGGGAGAUAGAAGGUUAUAAAGAGAAGUAGGGGGGCUAUAAUGGGAGUGUGGGGGCUAGAGGGAAAUAAAGAGUAAUAUGGAGAUACAGGAGGAGCUACAAGGGAAUGUGGGGAGACAAGAAAAGGGUACAAGCCCAUAUAUAGAAAAGAUGAGUAGAAUGAAAAAACCAAGAGGAAGAUAAAAAAAUUCAGUGAGCUAAAACAAAAGAAACAAAAACAAAAUCAAAAAUUAAAACAAAAUUGAGAAAAAAGGGAACAAAAUGAAACUAUACAAAUGAAAAAAGAAAAAAAGAAUAAUAAAAAAUCAAAAUAAAAAAAACAGUUAAAGGGAAAAUAGUGAAACAAAGAAAAAAAGGAAUACAAAGCAAAAAGAAAUGGAUGACAACAAAAUAGAGCAAACAAGUAGGAAAGCUAGGCAUAGCACAGCAAAAGAGAGCAAAGCAAAAGAAGGCAAAGAAUGACAAAAAGCAACCUUGCAGGAAUGGAGGAAUCUGUCCAGAGCUGUGCCCCUGCUUGCCACAGGAGCUGCGCGGGAGGAGAAGAACGUGGGCCAAAAGGAAUGGAGGAAUCUGUCCAGAGCUGUGCCCCUGCUUGCCACAGGAGCUGCGCGGGAGGAGAAGAACGUGGGCCAAAAGGAAUGGAGGAAUCUGUCCAGAGCUGUGCCCCUGCUUGCCACAGGAGCUGCGCGGGAGGAGAAGAACGUGGGGCCAAAAGGUAAGAGGAGCUCCUUUGGGUUCUGGGCUUGAAGCAAAGCUGAGAAGCCAUGCCCGGGAGGAGGUGUGGGUAGCUACAGGCCACCUUGCUAUCUCCCCAAGAGAUGAGGUGUGUGGGCUAGGCACCGGGCAGGAGUGCUGGCCAGAAGCAAGCAUCUCUGUGGAGGAAGGCAAAGGGCGGAGGAGGUUCAAGGGUAGCUACCGGGCAUGGCCUUGCUCAGCAAGGGGAGGAAAAGCCUGAAGGGCACGAGAAGGGGAUAGAGAAGGGCAGGCAGUAGGCGUGAAGCUGCGAGCAGAGUAGAGAGCAACUUGGCAGAGCAGCAAGCAGAGUAGGCAAGUGUUGAGGUUUGGCGUGGAGUAGCAGCAAAAGCCCAGAGCAUCAAGAAGCAGGAAGUGAGGAGAAGGUAAGUGAAGGGCAGGCAGGUAAUGGGAGGCAAAGGCAAGGGGAAAGGGGGGGGUAAGGGAGAAAGAAGGGAUGGGGAUGGGGAGGGGAUGGGUGAAGAGCAGAGCGGAGGGAAGGGCUGAGGGGAGGGCUGAAGGCAAACCUAUGAUGAAAAAAAAAGAAAAAAAUAAGAACAAAAAAUAUGAAAAAAGAGAAAAAAAAAAGAAAAAUAAGAAAAAGAGAAAAAAUGAAAAGAAAAAAAGAAAAAAAUGAACAAAAAAGAGUAAAAGAGAAAAAAAAAAAAAAAAAAAAAAAAAAAAAAGAAAAAAGAAAAAAAAGAAGAAAAAAAAAAAAGAGAAAAAAGAGAAAGAAAAAAAAGAAACAAAAGAGAAAAAAGAGAAAGAAAAAAAAAGAAAAAAAGAUUAAAGAAAAAGAGAAAAAAAAAAAGAAAAUAGAAAUAAAAAGAGACAGAAAAAUAUGAAAAAAAGAAAAAAGAAAGAAAAAAACAGUAGAUGAAAAAAGAAAAAAAAAAGGGAAAACGAAUAAUGACAAGAGAAGAAGGUAAAGAGAAA